rnacentral:rRNA from 1 species
AGCUUAUUGACAUUAUAUAAUAAGUAAUUUCUGCCCAGUGAUAUUAUUUCAACGGCCGCGGUACCCUGACCGUGCAAAGGUAGCAUAAUCACUUGCCUUUUUAUUGGAGGCUWGAAUGAAUGAAUAAACAAGGAUUUUACUCUCCCUUAUAUUACAAUAAAAAUUAUUCUUUAGGUGAAAAAACCUAAAUUCAAAAAAAAGACAAGAAGACCCUAUCAAGCUUAAUAUUUAUAAAAUCUUAUUUAUUUAAAUAUUUGAUUGGGGAGAUUAAUGGAGUUAAUAUUCCUCCACUAUAAAAAAGAAAAAUUUUUCUUAAAAUUUAAUAAUUUAAUAUAAUAAAGCUACUGUAGGGAUAACAGGCUUAUAUCUUCCUAGAGUUCAAAUUAAAGAAGAUGAUUGGCACCUCGAUGUUGGCUUAGGGUCCCUAAAAUUUGCAGUAAAAUUUCAAGGKAGUUUGUUCAACUAUUAAACCCCU